rnacentral:rRNA from 1 species
GAUGAACGCUGGCGGCGUGCUUAACACAUGCAAGUCGAACGGAAAGGCCCAAGCUUGCUUGGGUACUCGAGUGGCGAACGGGUGAGUAACACGUGGGUGAUCUGCCCUGCACUUCGGGAUAAGCCUGGGAAACUGGGUCUAAUACCGGAUAGGACCACUUCUUGGAUGUUGUGGUGGAAAGUUUUUCGGUGUGGGAUGAGCUCGCGGCCUAUCAGCUUGUUGGUGGGGUAAUGGCCUACCAAGGCGUCGACGGGUAGCCGGCCUGAGAGGGUGUACGGGCACAUUGGGACUGAGAUACGGCCCAGACUCCUACGGGAGGCAGCAGUGGGGAAUAUUGCACAAUGGGCGCAAGCCUGAUGCAGCGACGCCGCGUGGGGGAUGACGGCCUUCGGGUUGUAAACUCCUUUCGCUAGGGACGAAGCUUAUUUUGUGACGGUACCUGGAGAAGAAGCACCGGCUAACUACGUG